GGGAAGAUUAGCAUCCCUGCACAAAGAUGACAUGCAAAUUCAUAAAGGAUUCCAUAUUUUU
rnacentral:snRNA from 1 species